UUCAAAAAACUUUUGAGUUUCAUGAAGCAUUUGACAUGAUUGAACAACUGAGAAUCACGUUUCAAGUUCAGGCUAAGCAAAAGAGGUUUGAGACCUUGAAUGCUUUCUUUGGUUAAAAAAUGACGGAGGGAUCUUAUAUGAGUGCACAUUUACUCAAAGUAAAAGCUUAAACUAAGUAGCUUGCUUGCCUCAAAUUCCUAUUUGGGUAUGAGCUAACAACCAAUGUAAUCCUACCCUCAUUGCCAAAGUUAUUCAACCAAUUUGUGUUGAACUUCACUAUGAAUGACUAGCAUAGGAGAAUUAAUGAGCUUCAUUUAAUUCUCAAGAAUGUCGAGGAAAACGUCAAGAAAUCUGGGAAUCAAGUGUGAUUGAUCUGCAAGGGUCAAAUAUCGAACAACAAAACCAAAAAUGCUACCGGUAAAGGCAAAUGCAAAGCUACCAAGAAAGGUAAGGUCACAGGAAAGUGUCAAUGGAAGCCUCCUACUACCAACCCAACUUCAAAGCCCAAACCUGCUGUUGACUUUGACUAGUUUCACUACAAUGAAACGGGACACUGGAAACACAACUGUCCCAAGUACCUAUAGGAAGUUAUGAAAAACAAGGCCAACCAGGUUGGCACCUCAGGUAUAUAGGUACAUGAAUUAUAUGCAUACCAUACUAAUUAUUGGGUAUUCGAUACUGGAACUGGUACUAUCAUCUACGAUGAUUUGUAGGGAAUAAAGAAUGUUAGAGAACUCAGAAAUGGUGAUUUGGAACUCAAUCUGGACAAUGAAACUUGAGUAGCUGUCAAAUCUAUAGAACAAUAUCAUGUUUUGCUUCCAAAUGGUCUUAAUUGUUUUUUGAACAAUUAUUUAUAUGUACCUAGCAUAACUACGAAUAUUAUCUCUACUUUCCGUUUUUAUGAACAAGGUUUUUGUUAUACAUUUUACUUUUAUUCUAGAAACAUAUAUGUGUUUAAAGAUAAUGUGUUCUAUUUUGAGACUUGUCCCAAUAAUGGAAUAUAUAUGAAAUUGAUUUAAAUGGUUCAUACCAAAAGUACAAUUCAAUAUAUAACUUAACAAAUAAGAAAACAAAUUCAGAAUUUAAAAAAACUUAUUUAUGGCAUUGUCUCCUUUCACACAUAAACAAAACUCACAUUGCUAAGCUUUGAAAGGUUGGAAUCUUAGAAUCAACAAGCUUAGAGUCUUUGAAUGUAUGCGAAUCAUGUAUAUGUCGCAAGAUUACCAAGGCUACUUUUAGUGGUGUUGGUGAAAGAGCUUCGGAUCUAUUAGGACUCAUACAUACUGAUGUAUGUUGACCUUUUAGAAAAAUUACUAGAAACACUAAAGGAUAAUUCAUUACGUUUACUGAUGACUUUAAUAGAUUUGGAUAUAUGUAUCUUACGAAACAUAAACAUGAAGCAUACAAUGUAUUCAAGGUAUUCAAAAAUGAAAUACAAAAUCAAUUACGAAAAAGAAUAAAAGCAUAUGAUCAGAUCAUGGUGGUGAAUAUCUAAGCCAUGAGUUUGAUGAACAUAUUACUAAUUGUGGCAUAGUGUCAUAAAUCACUCCACUCGGAACCCCGCGUCUUGGAAAGCAGAAAUCGUACUCUAGUUGAUAUGAUAUGAUCAAUGACGAUUCAUAAUUCCCAUCCUAAUUUGUUUUGGAGUUAUGCCCUCGAUACCAGAGCUCGAAUUGUAGACAUGGUGCCAAGUGAAAAGGUUAUUAAGACUCCAUGCAAGUUAUGCAUGGAAAUGUUCCAUCAAUAUCUUACUUAAUGAUUUUGGGUUGUAAAGCAUAGGUUAAAAGAGAGACGUCUAACAAGCUUGACCCCAGAUCUCAAAAGUGUAUCUUUGUGCGAUACCCAAAAAAAACCAUGGGCCAUUAAUUCUUUCAUAAAGUGAAGGUUUGUAUCGAUCAGAUGCACUUCAAGUAGAGCAAACCACUGAUGUCUAAUUUUUGCUAGACCAACUUACCAAUCUAUUUCCAAGCAUUUUGGCUCCUCCUGAAGUGCUUUUAUGAUUAAUUCCACACCCGUCAUGAUCUGAUUCAGUGUAUCUCAGCAACUUGAACUAUGAGUCACGAGGAUACCAUAACCCAAGAUUGGGUGUAUGCUUUAAGUAUCGGAAAACCCUUUUGACAGCGUGAAGAUGAGAUUCCUGAGGACUGGCUUGAUAGCGAGCACACAAUAUGGUGGCAAACAUAAUGUCGGGGCGACUAGAUGUAUGAUAGAGUAGAGAACCUAUCAUUCCUCAAAACAAAGAUCCAUUCACAUCGGUGCCACUUGGAUCAAUGCCAAUAGACGCUGAUGAAGACAUCAAAGUGUUUGCCGAUUUGUAAUCAGAGAAACCAUACUUCUUCAGCAUAACUACAAUAUUUUUUGCUUGGCUAAAAAAUACCAUAUGUUAGUUGUUUGACCUGUAAACCCAAAAAAAGUUAGUUUACCUAUCAUGCUGAUCUCAAAUUUCUUGUCCAUGACCUCCGCGGAUUUUGAACUUAGCUUAUUAUCAGUGGAUCCGAAGAUGAUAUCGUCCACAUACACUUGAGCAAGAAGAAUAUGAGAUCAUGAGUUUUGUGUGAACAGAGUGUUAUAGAUCGUUCAUUGUUUGUAUCCACUUGAGAGAAGAUAGCUUUCCAACAUAUCAUACCAUUCCCUAGAAGCCUGAAUUAAGCCAUAAACAACUUUAUGAAGACAAUACACAUGAUAUGGAAAAAAUUCAUUUUCAAACCCUGGAGGUUGUUUUAGAAAGACUUCUUCUUGAAGAUCACAAAGUAAAAAGGCAGUCUUGACGUCCAUUUCUUCGACUUUGAAGUUUUUAAAAGAGGAAAAAGAUAGAACUAGAUGAAUUGCUUCAAGUGUUGCAACUGGAGAAAAUGUCUCACCAUAGUAUAACCCUUCAUGCUGACAGAACCCUUAAGCUACAAGCCUAGCUUUUCUUUCUUAUGACGAUUCCAUCUUCAUCUAUUUUGUUCCUGAAAACCCAACGAGUGCCAAUGAUAGUCUUUCCUUGAGGUUUGGGAACAAGAGUGGACACAGGAUGACGUUCAAAUUUAUCUAGCUCAUCAUGCAUGACCUUAAUCCAGUCAGCUUCUUUCAAGGCAUUAAUAAUAUUCUUUGGUUCGAUCAUUGAGACGAAGUUUACAAACAUGCAGAAGUUCUUGCUGACUCGGCUGUGACUAUGAAUCCAAAAUUUUACAUCUUCAAUGAUUUGAGAUUCAAGAUGAUCUCGAAGGAUUCUUGUAUUAGAAAUUUCAUUUGUAUUGCUAUGGGCAAAGACUUCCCGAGUAGAUGAUUUGGCUUCUUUAUGGGCAAAGACUUCCCGAGUUGAUGAUUUGGCUUCUUUAAGGACAACAGGCUGAUCUUUAAGGACAACAGGGUCUGAAGGACUAUAAGUAAGUUCAUUCAGAAUUGACAAGGGGUGAUCACCUCGAUCAUCAAUGAAUGAUUCCUCAUCAAAGGUGACAUGGAUUGUUUCUUCAACAGUUUUCCUUCAAAGAUUAAAUACUCUUAUAGCCUUGGAUACGUUGGAGUAUCCUAGGAACACUCCUUCAUCAGCUUUAGCCUCAAACUUCUAAUGUUGAUCUAUAUGAUUCAAGAUUUAACAAAUAAGUCCAAACACAUGAAAAAUAAGAGAUGUAUGGUUUCCUUCCUUUUAGUAGCUCAUAAGCAGUUUUCCCAUGACGUUUAAUAAUAACAAACCGAUUUUGGGUAUAACAUGUUGUAUUGAAGGCUUCAGCCCAAAAUGACAAUGAAAGACCAUCUUCAACAACAAAAGUUCUUCCAGAUUCAAUGAGAGAUUUGGUUCUUCUUUCUGCAAUACCAUUUCGUUGGGGAGUUCUAACUGCCGAAAACUUCUAUGAGAUUCCUAAGACUGAGAAAAAAUAUUCCAGAGAGGAGUUUUUGAAUUCAGUUCCACGAUCACAACGUAAUUGACUUACUUUGAGAUCAUAGAGGACUACCCAUUGUUUAAGAGAAAUGAUUUCAUCAGUGGCAUGACUCUUCUUUCUUAAAAAGACUACCCAUACAAACCUUGAAAAUUGAACCACAAUGACAAGUGUAUAUUUCUUCCAGCUCUUGAAUUAAUCAGAACUGGUCCAAAAAGGUCUAUAUGAAGGAGAUGAAUUGGUUUGAUGAUUGAAGAAAAGGACUUUGGCAUGAACAAAGACUUUGUUUUCUUCUUUCUUUCACACAUUGUGCACAGUUUGUCCUUGAUAAAUGGCAUCUUAGGAAUUCCUCUCUCAAGGUGAUUCUUUGCAAUCCUUGAGAUGUUCUUGAAGUUUAGAUGUGAUAGCCUUUUGUGACACAACCAAUUUAGUUGAGAUUGAGUAUGAGAGAAGAACAAACGAAGAAGAGAGUUGUCAGCAGAAAACAUAUCCAGAACAUAGAUUUCAUUUUAUCGAUAUGCAGUAACAACAGUUUUUCUCUUUUGAUCAACAACUUUUUCUUUUAUCUUGUUAAAGAGAACUUCAUAUCCAAAAUCACACAGUUGACAAUAAUAAUGAGAUUAUGCUGAAGACCUUUCACAUAAGAGAAAUUCUUGAAAACAACGAAAUUAUACUUGAUGGAUCCAUAUUCCUUUGUUGCUCCCUUGCCAUUAUCUCCAUAUGUAAUUGUCAGACCAAUCUACUUAAUUAAAUCCUCCAGGAUAGACGUGAAUCAAGUCAUAUGUCAUGAGCAGCCGUUGUCUAAAUACCAAAAAUGAUCUUUACCUUGAAAAUAAGGUGUAAAGUAAGUCCAAAAAAAAAUAUACACUAACCAUUUGUAAAGGAGCACAAAGAAAAGAUGUUAUAACAAUCAUCAGGGAGACAGUUCAAUGAGCUUCCCUUUUUUUAUCCACUUAUCAUUUCGAGUCAUGAUAUUAUCAGCUUGAACGGUGUUCUUUUCGAAAGUGCACUCGCUGACUUUGUGAGAGGCAUCACCACGUCAAUAACAAACUUUAAUUCCAAGAUUCUUUCCUUUAAUAUUAGAUUUUCAUUUCUUUUCAUCUACUGAAUCUGAAGAACUUUGAUUAUUUGACUUAAGAGUUCUUGAUUAAGUUCUAGAACAAGGAAUGUUAUCAAUGGCAUUAUCAUAUACUACCUUGUCAUGAGACUCAUGAUCGUUUGAAGAGUUAUUGGGAGUAGAAGGCUUUGAUUGAUCUUCAGGUUUAGAAUUGCUAACUGAGCACUAAGGAAACAUGCUAAGAAUUUUGUUAACAAAAUAAGCUUCACGAUUACAUAUAGGAAACUUUAGCAAAAUCUUAGUGGAGGGAAGAACAUACUCACGAUCAGAAGGUUGGAGAUAAGGAUCAAGAUCAGAUAACUUAGAAACACAUUAGUAAUGCCAUUAUAAACCAUAGAGUAGUGAGUAUUCGUUAAGGUUUGAUUUACAAAAUAAGAAUUCAAAAAUCUACUCUUAGAGUUUUCAUUUAAGUAGUCAUCUUUAUAAAAGGUUUGUUUAGUUUCAACUUUGAUUAAAGAAACAACACCUUCUAUAUUACCUCCAAGAAUUUUCUUACACUAAUCUGGAAUCUGAGCAUUAAUGAUUCUUGUAACAUUAAAGUGAGACGCUGACCAAUAAUUCAAAAUAAUUUGAGUGCAAUUAGCAUGAUCAACAAGUUUUUAUUUUUCAGUGUGAAGAAAAUUUUUGGCUAGCGAGAUACAAGUGUUAUCCUUUUUUAAAACAAAAGGAGAUUUUUCUAGAGAGGAGAGUUCUUCUAUCAGAAUCUUCAGAUCAAGACUAAGAAAAUAUUUUUCCUUAUUUGAGAUGAAUAAAUUGAAAUGUAAGAGAUCGAUCAUGUCAUAUUUUUUGAUAUUAUCAAUAGAGGAAAGAUUAACAUGAGUUUUUCACCUGAUACGCUGAAGUAUCGUCAGAUUCUGACUUGGGGUCUUUAGAAGUGUGAGGAGAAUUAGCUUUAAGGAUCCCAACGUUGUCAUGUGAAGUGUCAGCGUGAGAUUCACCAAUCUAAGCCAUGGGACACUUAACUUCAUCGACUGAAGAGUUUUCAUUUGCAAAAGAAGAUGAAAUAGUAAAUCAUCAUCUCUUGAGUAGUUGUGCAGCUUUGUACCAAACAAUAGACAAAAAAGGGAUUGAAUUUCUAAUAACAAUUCUACCCUUUACAUCGAGAUUCAACAUCCUUUUCUCUUCAUUGUUAUAACCAUGAAAAGAUUUCCCUUUCAGCUUACAGCCAGAUGAACCAUCAUUGGAUGAUUGAUGCAUAUCAGCUAUACGACCUUUGUUAACAACGCCAAGCAUAUCGAAAUCCAUGAAAUCUAGAACUUCAAUGGCCUUUGAUUUCAAAUCAGAGAAGUUUUGUUUGUCAAACGGAGGGAUCUUCUUACAUACAGUUGACUUUGGAAUGAAAGAAGUCGACAUGAUUAUUUAAGUUUAUCACAAACCUGCUUUGAUACCAAUUGAAGGUUUGCAUUGAUGGGAUACACUUCAAGUUUGAAUAAAAAAAAAAGUAAAACUAAUAUAAUCAAAAUAAUAAAACAAAUUAAAUAACAUAGAAGUUCUCCAAAUUGUUCUUUCACCAAGAAAGAGUUUUGUCUACACCAAGAAGAUGGGUUUGUCACAAACAUGGUUGAGACAAUGCCACGAUCACAACAAUAGGGUUUUCCCAAAUGUUUUCUAUAUACUAAUCUAUACAUGUAUAUCCCUUGAUAGAAUGGAUUGCGUCUAAUCUAUUGUCACACCCUCCGCCGAGGUGGAACAUGUCGGGUUAUGUGACUAAGUUCAUGGAUCAUAGAUAAACUGAAUAUAUAGCACAAGUACAACGAUAAACAAAAUAACAUUCAAAUUUCAUCAUAAAAUUUGAAUACAACUUUCUUACUAGUUAAUAUAGUAGUUGCCUUAAGCAGGUAGGCAAACAUAAUAAAAAUUAGUAAACUAAAUCAUUUGAGAUUCCUGAAUAUCCAUUAGCCGAAUUCGCUUGAUCUCUAAGAAUACAUGUAUAUUGAAAGUCAACACGAGGUUGGUGAGAGUCACAGGUUUUCUGCUAGCCGCCAUAAUAAUACUUUUAAUAAAUCCAAAAGUAUUUUCUAUGCAUGAAUAAAAAUAGGUAAAAUAGCAUUUGCAAUGGAACUUUAAAAGUUAUAAUGCAUCUUAAAAUCCAGAUCUUAAAAACUAUGUUGGUAAUGAAUCUUUGAAAGCCAAAACGUUAUGUUCCAUAAGUAAAUCUAUACUUAGACCAUGUUUAUAGUAAACCAUUCAAUAUCCUUGAAAGUCAAAAUGUACUUGUUGUAUUAGUAAAUCCAUACUUUAAAAUGUACUUGUAAUAAUCCUUUAAAAGUCAAAAUGUACGCGUUGUAUAAGUAAAUCCAUACUUUAAAAUGUACAUAUAAUAACUUCUUGAAAGUCAAAAUACAUGCUUUGUAUAAGUAAUUUCCAUACUUAAAAAUGUACUUGUAAUAACGUCUUGAAAGCCAAAAUGAAUGUGUUGUAUAAGUAAUUUCCAUACUUAAAAAUGUACUUGUAGUGACUUCUUGAAAGUGAAAAUGAAUGCUUUGUAUAAGUAAUUUCCAUACUUAAAAAUGUACUUGUAAUAACUUAAUGAAAGUCAAAAUGAAUGUUUUGUAUAAGUAAUUUCCAUACUUAAAAAUGUACUUGUAAUGACUUCUGGAAAGCUAAAAUGAAUGCUUUGUAUAAGUAAUUUCCAUACUUAAAAAUGUACCUGAAGGCAACCAAACCUACGAUGGUAGUAAGAGAGAGAGAGAGAGAGAGAGAGAGAGAUUCAUGUUAAUGUUUUUAAUGAGUUCUAUAAUCAAGCUAUGGAUGAAAAGUAUCCCUACCUACGAUGCUUCAUUGGGCGUCGUAGUAAUGAUCGUAGACACAUAUCACCAGCUACGAUUGAUCAGUCGAUGGUUGUAGCUAGCAACUGCAGGUUGGGUUGUCGACCCCCUAUAGAUCUAUACAUAUGUACCUCUCUCCGAAGAUUAACGAUUAUAGCGGUGUGGGGCAGGCUAUGUAAUUAAACUUAGCUAAUAAAUAGUAGCGUCUCACUAAAAAAUCAUUAACGAAAGGUUGUGAAUAAGUCUCAGCCCUAACUUAAUUUAGAUUAAGUGCCAGGCAUAAUGAAUUUCGUAGUAUAGCUUUUAUAAAAGCCGAGUAUGGUUGGCGUGUUUGUAAAAGUAUAAAUUACUCGCUUUUAUAGAGAAAUAUAGUUUCAACAUAACGAUAUUGUAUAAGCUUGUAAAGCCCCGUGCAUAAAAGUAUUCAAAGUUAGUAGUCUUUGAAACUUUGAAAUACUUUAAACUAGUAUGUAUGUAAAGCCUUACGCAUAAAAGUAUUCAUAUAAUGAAUUUCAUAGAAUAAUGUUCACAAAAGUCGAGUAUGGUUAACGUAUUUAUAAAAGUAUAAAUUACUCACUUUUAAAGAAAAAUGUAUUUCAAUGUAAUGAUCUUUUAUAUGUGUGUAAAGUCUUAUGCAUAAAAGUAUUCAUGGGUAGUAGUCUUUGAAACUAUGAAAUACUUUAAACUUGUAGCAUGCAUAUCAUAGAAUACUUAUGUAUUUGUAUCAUAAAUACUAUAUAGCACAUGUAUUCUCCCCCAAAACGAAUAAAUAUAAAAGAAGGGAUGUAACUCUCACCUCGAUAUGCAGUUAAGGAGUUGUUUUCAAGGGUUGGAUGCGAGAACCGGGAUGUGGUGUUGCGAAUUUUGAACAUCUGAUAUUUUCUUAGUCUUGAUGAUUGAAGAGACUAUAUAAAUAUCUAAUGAUGGUGGGAGACAUCCACAGGGGCCAAAAUUCUGAGAUGUGGAAGUUCCAAGGUGAAAAAGUGUCGAGAUUUGUUGAAACUUCGAGACUAAAAAAAUCCGAAACAGUAAAAGUUCCGAUAUGGGCAUAAAAUAUGAGGUUAGAAGGUCUAAGAUGAGAAAACUCCGAACCUGAUGGAAAUUCCGAAGUCAAAAAUGCCGAAACUAAGAAAAGGUGUGAAAUGUCAAAAAUCCGAAGUGGAGCUCCGAAACGGAGGGUGGUCUGAAGUCAGAAGGAGGGUCCGAAGUGGCUGACUUCUGAAGCGAGUAGGUUCCAAGGUGAGCAGCUUCUGAGGCAAGCAUGCUUCUAAGAUGAGUAUGGUUUGAAGUGCCAAAUGAUUCGAUAUAGAAGAAGCUCCGAGACUGCUGAGUUCGAGACUCAGAGGAGUCUGAGACAACAGUCACUCCAAGACUACUGUGUCUGAAAUGAGGGGGUAUAAAGUCAAAAUGUCUGGAAUGGCUAAAACUCUGAAAUUGGCUUGUUGUUUUCAGUUUCUUCCCCCAUUUUGAGUUAGUUUCAACCAAAUGAAGGGUUGGUAUGAUAUAGGUGUUUGAGGAAGAUGUUCUAAGUGCGGGGAGGAGUGAUUUAGGAUAGUGAAAUCAUCUUGUGUGGUUGUUACCAAGAGAGAUUCAGGAGAGAUUUAUAAGAAACUUGGAAGACAUUUGAGAGAGAUAUGCAAGACUUGGGAUUUUUAGAGAGUGGGCUCUGGGAGAAGAAAAAGAAGUGAGAGAUUUUAGAGAGCAAAAGAGAGAGCUGAAAACUUGAGGAGGUGAUCUCUAUUUAUAGUAGGGUGGAGUACUCACUUGGCCAAGGAGGCCAUACUCCUCCAAUCCCAUCAGAUACAAUCUUUUUUACUUUUGGACGGAGUGCAAGUAAAAGAAAAAGAGGAGUGGGGGAAAAGGUUACGUGGAAAAUCUCAGGGAAAUGGCUGAAGGUUUAUCCUUACAAAUCUAAUUGGUCCCACACAAAAAUUUGCAUCCUCUUUAAUGGCUUUAAAUGUACACAUAAUCGGGUACGUCGGGAUCCGGAUGUCAAGAAUAUUUUUCGAAUAUACUGAUGGAUUAGAUUUAAUUCAAGGAUUUCAAAAACCUAAAAGGAUUAAUUUGUGAGGUUAUGGAAAUCCGGGAAAUCGCGUUUGAAUUUUUGCAUCCUAACAGCUCACGGUGUCUGUGUUCGCUAUUUUUGUAAAUAUUUUUACUAAAAAUAUUUCGAGUAUGAAAUUAAAUAAUCGACUAUAGUCUAAUUCCAAAAACGCUCUCAUAAAUCCUGUCAGCAAUGCGUAAGUACCUCAACGGUGUGAAACAGUUUACUUAAAACAGGUAAAACCAUCGUUAUGUCGGUUUGUUUCCUUAAAACUAUCAUAUCUUUUGCAUACGAACUCCGUUUUAGACGUUCUUUAUAUAUUCAGAAAUAGGGGAACACGUAAUAUGAGUCUAAAAUAAUUUCUUCGCUCAAAACCGCUUAUUACAUUUUUUUUAGUUUUUAGCUGUCCUAAUUAGGGUUGCAAUUUAUGCUGUUUGAUUAGUUCGUUAGUUACAUAUUCGUAAGUAAGUUUUCAUUGGAUAUCUUAUAAUAGUUGAAAUGAACCAAUUUAUUUUAUAAAGGAUGUACUAAAACUCAAUGAGUCAAAUUACAACUAGAUUAGUUGUUAUAAAAUUUUAGCCCUCAAUUUCCGGGAUGUGACAUCUAUACUAAGAAUAGAUCAUAUCACAAAGAUACUGGAUAUGUGAUGUAUUCUAUACUGAUAUAUAUCAUUACCUGAUAUAAAAAUGAAUACAAUUGGAUAACUGAACUGUAAGAUGAUGUUGAUAGCUUUGAUAUGCUGACACUCUCAAUGUGUAGAUGUUGAUGCAGACAGGUCAACGUGUCCGGUGUUUAACUAAUUAGAUCAUAAGGAGUGACCUUACAGAAAGAAGAUAGCUAAGUGUUCAUAGCCGAAAAAGCAGUGGUUCUUGAAAAUGAGUUUAUCUUGUAUAAAUCAAAUGGGAGCCUCAAUUAUCUCAAAGAAAGUUGAGAAGCAUGACCUUUAGUUGAGAAUGAUAAUAAACAAAGUAUUUUUGAACAUGAAAUUAUCGUUAAGAUGCCGGAAAACAUAAACACUGUACGAUCCUCAAGUAGACCUCACCAGGAACCUGACAAUUUUGGAGCAAUGUGAACCCAUCAAUUUCAAGGCAGUUAUUGCAGAUCCUGAAUCUAACAAAUGGCUUAAAUCGAAGAUAGCUAAAAUUCAGUCCAUGUGAAACAAUUAAGUAUGGGAGUUGGUUGACUUACCUCCUAAUAGGAGGGCUAUUAGAAGCAAGUGGAUCUUCAAGAAGAAAAUCGACAUGGAUAGGACAAACAUUCAAGACACGAAUUGUAUCGAAAGGGUACACUGAAAUUUAUGGUGUUGACUAUGAAGAUACGUUCUCUCCAGUUGCUAAGAUUAAAUUUGUUUCAAUUAUCAUGGCCCUAGCCGCAUAUAAAGACUAUGAGAUAUGGAAAAUUUGACUGCUUUCCUUAAUGGAUAUCUUGAGGAAGAUGUCUACAUGGAACAUCCUAAAGGUUUUUCCAACCAAGGAAAUCUAAAGAAGGUGUGGAAACUGAAGAUUUUAUGUAACGCCCUGAUUUUCGGGUGUUGGUUUAUGUGAGAAUUUUAUUGAUUUCAAGGUCUACUCUACGAGUUGGCUGCCCUACUCGUCGAGUAGCAGCGGGUUGGUCUACGUGUUUUAGUGAUCUACUCAUCGAUUCCAAGAAGGGACUCGACGAGUAGGGACUGGCAGAUGAAACCCUAAGUUGCGGGAUUUUGCACCCUAUUUAAAGGAUCAUUGGCCCUCCCCAGCCUCCCCUUUACAACUUCUUGGCACCUUUAAACCCUAAUUUGAGUGUGUGUGUGUGUGUGUGUUUCUUUGGUGUGAUGGAGAUUUGAAGAGAGAUCUUGGUGAGGAAUACAUGGGGGAAACAAGUAAUUAAAGCUAGGAAUUUGUGGGAAGCAAGGAUAUACAUCAGUUGUGUCACACCCCAAAACCAAGAAUGGCGGAAAUGUUUUGUGGCGGAGGACGUCAUGUACAGUAUCACAACAAUGAAAAGUAGUAAACAAGCAAUAACAUCAUCCAUUGCAUUAAUAAUAUAAUUUUAAUACAAGUGUGUUCUGACAAAUUAUGAUAGACACUAAAGUAUAAUAAAAAUGAAAGAUGAGUCUUGAACGAGCUCCAUCCUCUCUAAACCUUGCAUCGGUACCUGUCUACUGUCGACCUAAGGAUACAAGUUAUUUUGAAAGAGAGUAUCAGCUUUAAAGCAGGUGAGAUCAUAAGUAUUUUAGUGUCUUAAUUUGUAUGUAAGUAUUUGUAUGUAUAUGAAUUGUAAGUAUUGACAAUGUAUAUGGAUUGUAAGUAUUGAAAAUGUAUAUGAAUUGUAAGUGUUGAAAAUGGUUGUAGAACAAAUGUAAACGUUUGAAAAACCCUAGAAAUCCCUAUGAUUCCUACUACUAUAAAAGGGGGUCUUCUACCAUGAACUAACUGUUUUGAAUGUAGCCUUCUACCAAGACCUAAUUGCUCUGAAUGUAGCCUUCUACCAAGACCUAACUGCUCUAAAUGUAGCCUUCUACCAAGACCUAACUGCUCUGAAUGUAGCCUUCUACCAAGACCUAACUGCUCUGAAGGUAGCCUUCUACCAAGACACGACAGUUCUGAAUGUAGCCUUAGUAUUACCCUUUAGUACCAGGGUAACUAACAAUGUUACCUGAAGACAUCCGUAGAACCCUUCAAUUGGUCAACGAAAGAUUGGAAACACUAAAAAUCCCAACAUAAGUCCGUUUUUGACUAGGAUUUCCUUUUUGGGCCUACUGGACCAAUAAUUUUCCAAUUUGACUAUUUUGGGCUUAGAACCCUUAAAUGGGCCCUAACUGGACCCACUUUCAUGAAACCUAACAUUUUGAGCCAUAAUGGAUCCAAAAUGAAUUGAAUUAUCCUUAACGGGCCUUGUUGGGCCAUAACAAAACAAAUUAACCCUAAUGGACCAUAAAACCCAUUCAUUUAUACUAAUUGGUCCGUGAACCAUCCUAUGGGCUGAAUGGGCCAAAAACUUACUUAAUGGGCUUUAUGUUUUCGAGCAAGACCAAGAACGAAGCCAACUAGCUCACUUCUUUCUUCUUUGGCUCAAAUAUCGGCCCAUGUGUAAAAAAAGGAAAAUAAUGGACAGUUAAACAUAAACAUGCCACCUUAAUACUGUUUAAUGGUUAAUUAAGAAAUUUUUCAACAUGCAACAAGGCAAGGAUCUCAUGUCUCCAUGCACAUCACCUCACCUUCUCUCUUCUUCCCUCUUCUUUUUCUUCUCAUCCGAACACACACACCCUCGCCACCUUCAACUUUCAUUUCAAACUCUCUCAAACCUUUCAAGAACAUCUUCUUACCUCCCUCAAAAUCUCGAAAAUUAGUGUGGCUCCAAGAAGAUCUUUCACUUAUAUCACUAUUAUUGGUAAGUUAUUGUUAUACAUAAGCCUUGGUUUCCAUUCUUAAGCUAAGAACAACUCCUUAUAUGACUUCAUUUGGUGAUCAUACUUCCUAGAAAACCUCUAAACCUGAAAGUUCUCUUCAAGGAAGUAUCUAAGGCAAAAAAAACCACACCAUCUUCUUCCAUUCUUCUCAUCGAAACCGAUCCAUCACCCAAGGUGAGUUCAUACCCCCUGGUUUUCUGUUUUUUUUUUGGGGAGGNNNNNNNNNNNNNNNNNUGUGUGUUGUGUGGGGGGGGGGGGGGGGGGGGGGAGAAUACAAGUCUUAUGUGUUGAUCUAUGUGUGUUUGCAUGUUAUAUGUGAUUUCUUUGGUUAUUGUUGUGAAAAUUUUUAUAAUACUUGUUAUAUAUCGAAAUCUAUAGCAUAAAUGUAUAAGAUUCAUAAACAAAAACAUAUUAAACAACAUACUUCAAUGAUAUAAGUGUUUUCUUGUGUGAGAAGUUAAGAACAACGCAAAAGAUUAUACAAGUAACAAUUUUUGCAAAUAUAACAAAGUAUUGGGAUAAAAAUGACAUUUUCGGAUUCAUAAGGAUAAAAAUGGUAGUUACGUUCAUAAAAACUGGGAUUUUAUGAAAAUAAUACUUUUAAGGGGUCAAAAAUAUAAAUUUUUGCUUAUUGGGCUUACAAUUGAGCCUCACGGGUUUUUGAGCCCAAAUUACGAAAAAAUGUGGUUUUGGAGUUGAAAUUGUAAAUUCAUCAAAGUAUGAGUCUAAAAACAUAAACAAACCAAUUCAGGGGCUGAAAAUGUCCUUUAAUCCUAAAUUGAGUUAGAUAUGUAAUGUUUUUGGAUUUUGGAGCAAAAUUGUAAAACUUACGAAAUUUGGGGCAAAAAUGUAAUCUUUUUACAUAUAAGGACUGGAAAUGGAAAGUACAAUAUUUUUGGGCUGAAAUUAUGAUUUAAAUUAUGUUUGGGCCAAAAAUGUCAAGAAAAAUGGUUUAAGGACCAAAAAUGUUAAUUUUCCAUCAAAAAGGACUAAAAAUGUCAUUUUAUUAAGGAAGGGCUAAAAAUGUAACUUUUGUGAAAAGGGGCUGAAAUGGUCAAAUAAAUAUUUUCGGGUCCAACGUGCUAAUUGUCACACCCUAAAACCGGAAUGACGGAAACGUUCAAGGGUGGAGGACGUCAUGUACAAUAUCACAACAAUGCAUAGUAGUAAACAAGCAACAACAUCAUCCAUUGCAUUAAUAAUAUAAUUUAAUACAAGUGUCUUCUGUGAAGUUUAAUAGACACCAAAAUGUAAAUCAAAAUAGGAGAUGAGCUUUGAAUGUGCUUCAUCUUCUCAAAACCCUGGCUGGUAAGUUCAUAAGUAUUUUAGUGUCAAUGUUUGUAUGAAAGUAUUUGUAUGUACUUGAUGUAUAAGUUUGUAAAUGUUUGUAUCUCCUAGAAAUUCCUAUAUUUUCUACUAAACGUAGCCUUCUACCAAGGCAUCAAUUGAAAUGUAUGUUUGUUUCUUGUAAAAGUGUGUAUUUUCCCAAGUAUGACUAUCAUUAAAAAAAAUAUAGUUUUUACAUUACCGUUCAUUGUGUGAAAAUCACAAAUUGAAUGCAAUGGGGAAAUAUUAAAGUACUGUAGUGUUGUAUUAAGUAACUACUGCUGUACUAAUUACCUUAAACCUAUUUGUUACUUUAAGUAACAUGUGAUAUGUCUGUACCAUACUACCGACUAUAAACAUGAAGAUGAAAGACGUCCGAAGAAAUGACAUUUGGAACCCGUUUUCACACCCCAAAACCAAGAACGGCAGAAACGUUCCGGGGUGGAGGACGUCAUGUGAAGUAUCACAACAGUGUAAAGCAGUAAACAACCAACAACAUCAUCCAUUGCAUUAAAAGUAAAGUUUUAAUACAUGUAUGUUCUUUCAUUAUGUACAACAAUAACAUGAAUAAUCCAAAUAAGAUGAGUCUUAACUGUGCUCCGUCUUCUCAAAACCUGGCCAUCGUUCCUGACUAGCUGGUGACCUGAGAAUACAAGUUAUUUUGAAAGCGAGUAUCAGCCUAAGGCUGGUGAAUUCAUAAGUAUUUAAGUGUUAUUGUCUUGUUUUGGAAAACCGUUAUGAAUGCCUUCUAAAUCUUUAAAUGAAACAUUUGAUAUAAAUUUGAAAACCCUAGAAAAUCCCUUAUUUCCUACUAGUAUGAAAUGUAGUCUUCUACCAAGACCCGAAUGUUUUGUUAUGAAAAUGAUGGUUUUUCCUUCUUUUUGACUAUUACAAACAGUACUUAGUCUAACUCAUCGUUUAUGUGAAUGUAUCACAAAAUAAAGUAAAAUAGGAAAAAGAAUAUGAUAUAAGUGUUAUCCUUGGGAAAAUACACACUUUUACAGUAUCCAUGUAAGUGUAUACAGGAAAAUGUAUCUAUGUAAUGUUACUCAUGUAUGGUAUUCAUGUAAGCGCAUUCAGGUAAAUGUAUCUAUGUAAACGUACUCAUGUUCAUGUAAGCAUAGGUAAAUGUACUCAUGUAUCAGGUAGUGUACUGGUAUAGAAUCAUGAAUGAACUGACUCUUGUGUGAUUCCUUGUAAUAGUAAUAAGGUUUUGUAUCUUCUAACUAUCCCUAUGAUAAUUAACUGAAUGGUAAUUGGUUGUUCAAGUAAGUUUAUACACCCUUGCUAUACAAGGGUGAGGGAAACUAAAUGAAGGAUGAAAACUAUAAUAUCAAUGCAUAUAAAAGAACAUAAGUUAUUAGAUAUAGUUUUGUUCAAGAGGGUAAAAAUGGUUUUGUAAAACAUCUAUGAGUUUUGAACAAUAAUUAACAAUGACUUGAUGUCAUUUUAAUAAAUAUUUCAAACAUAAAAAUUUUUCUAUCAAGGUAUUUUUAAGAUAUGAAACCAUUUCAUGCAUCACAUUUUGUAGUAUGUGAAAUCUGCUAAAUGAAAACGCAGUUAUAAAAUACAUAUGAAUGAUUUAAUAACAUGUUGUUUUCUACUUGUAUCCCCCCUCCCCCCUNNNNNNNNNNNNNAAAAAAGUGUGUGUGUGUGUGUGUGUGUGUAUAUAUAUAUAUAUAUAUAUAUAUAUAUAUAUAUAAGGACACAUAUUGACAUGACUAUAGUGUUUAUAACAUCUAUAUGAAAGGAAACACUUUCUGGGACUAGGUAACAUCUUGACCAAGUGCUGGAAUCACAUGUGAUUCAACAUAGGAAGGUAUAAAGGCACUCACAUGAGUUUACUACCAUGAGUUCAUGGCCCAAGGGAGUUUACGGCCAUAAACUCAUGGCUACUCAUGUGGGAAUGAAAUUUUGAAGGAUAGGGAAUGGUAUUGGGACAUUAGCUCUAACCUAGGAUGAAGAAAACCCACUUUCUUUGAUGUUCUAAGGAUUUCACGACCCAAAUGAGUUUACUACCAUAAACUCAUGGCCAUUUAUGUUUAUGAGGGUCCUAAAGGUCAUAAGGAAGCAUUCUAAUUUCAAGCCUAAGCCUUUGGAACUGUUUGUGGCAUCAAAACACCCCUAACUUGAGUUUACGGCCCAUGGACCAUUUGGUCAUGUGUUUGCGGCCGUAAACACUCAUGGGUGUUGAUAUUUUCAAUGUUUUGGGUCCUAAACACAUCAAGGUAAAGUUCUAUGUUUGUCUCUUGGCUUAAUGAAGGUAUUUAGGGCAUUUUGGCACCCUAAUAUGGAGUUCACGGCCCAAGAACAUCCUUGGCCGUGAACUCACUUUCAACCCUUGAUUCUCAAUGUUUUGGAUGUCUAAACAAGCCAUGGGUAGUCUCUAGGUUUAGUUUUAAAGUUUGGAGGGACAUUGGGCACACUUUUGGCCCUAAAUUUAGUGUUCACGGUCCAAGAAGAUCUUUUCUCUAGUUGGAAAUGUAACUAAUGAAUGGCUUUUCUCUAGUUGGAAAUGUAACUAAUGAAUGAAUAUGGCUCCGAUUUCUAUUUAUAGUCCUGAGAUUUUUGGCAAAAAAUAUUUUAUUCCCGGAAUGAACUCUAAUAUCGUAGAGUAUUGGAAUAACAGUGUUGCACAAAACCCUAGUGCAUCCACUCUCCUGAUAUAUCCUUAAGUGUUAAACCUGAAAUACUCAAACUUAUACCCAAAGUCUGGAAUUUCUCUGUAACUUUCUAACUUCUAUUGGCUUGAUAUGGUUUGUUCAGAAUGGAAAUUUCGGGUUGUCACAUCAUCCCCCUGUUAAAGGGAAUUUCGUCCUGAAAUUAGAAUCUAUGAAAGGAAGUAGGUAGAAGUGAUCGAGUCGAUAGGUAAACUUCCUAAUCGAUUGGUUCUCGCGCUCCCAAGUGAAAUCGGGUUCUUGGUUGGUAUUCCAACGAACCUUCACUAACGCACGACGGUGUUGCUUCGUCCGCUUGACCACUCGGUCAAGGGUCACUACGGUUCUAAGACGAAGGCGAGGAUCUCGUUAAUCUCGAUCUCGUCGAGAGGGCUUACGAGAUUCCUAACGGAAAGGUAUGGUUUAAAAACCGAGACGCGAAGUGUAAAAUGUAUGUUAUUGAGUUCGCGGAGUAGAUCUAGUCGGUGAGUUGUAGGACCGAUUCUGGUAAGAAACUCGGAGGUCCUAACUAUAUUGGAUUUAGCUUUCCACGCUUCACGAAGCGUAUUAAGCCAUUCCCCGGGUGAGGUUUAUUAAAGAAUUUGUUCUCUCACUUGGGAUUCCAAAGGUUCUUUCACUCGCUUAACUUCCCAGUCAAGGGCCACCCCUUGUUGGGUCAAAGUCGAAAGGGUUUUUGUAAUUUGCGAGGAGUUAUGAAUGGAUUAUGAUAGUAGGUCUGUAAGACCUAGAAUUUGGCAGAUUUUCCAUCGGUGACAACAGUGCCGACAAUUUCCCAAUGUGUGACAACCCGAAAUUUCCAUUCUGUACAAACUAUAUCACUUCAAUAGAAGUUAUAGCAGGCACAGUUAACUUUCAGACUUUCUGCGUAAGUUUGAGUAAUUCAGGGUUUACACUUCAGGAAAUAUCAGGAGAGUGAGUGCACUAGGGUUUUGUGCAACACUAUUAUUCCAACACUCUAUUGUAUUAGAGAUCAUUUCAGGAAUAAAAAUAUUUCCUGCCAAAAAUAUUUCAGGACUAUAAAUAGAUUUCUGAACCAAAUUCAUUCAUUAUUCACAUUUCCAACUAGAGAAAAGCCAUUUUCUCUCUGACGGAUCUUCGGGUUUUUAUCCCAAAUUGUGAGUACCCUUUUCUAGGAGUGUUAGAAUGCUUAUUAUGUGCUUAUAACAUGAUUUAGAUGGCUAAAUCAUUAGAUCUAGGAGUUUACUCCCCAAGGUGUUCUUCGGCGGUAAACUCCCGAAACGAAGCCAAAACCGACCCUUGUGUUAUACCACUGCCUUAGACUAUUAUGUAUGUGUGUUAGGAACAAGAAAACAUCCAUAAAUCACCCAAGUUUGGGAGUUCACGGCCAAAGAGAUUAAUAGGCCGUAAACUCCCUUUUCACACUCAAAAUGGUGUUUUAAGGACUCUAAAACUUUAAGGCUUUUAUCUAGACUAGUUCCCCUUUAGUGUAAGGCCUUAAACACAUCAAAGAACACAUACAAAUGAGAGUUUACGGCCCAAGUGUACCUUAGGCCGUAAACUCCAUAGAAAUGGACAAAAGGGUGUUUUUAAGACACCUAAAACCCUAGACCUUUACAAGGAAUUGUUUCCACUUAAUUGAAGGACCAAAACUCAUCUAAAUCACUUAACAAAGUGAGUUUACGGCCAAGAGAAUGCUCUUGGGCCGUAAACAUGAAAGAAUGGCACCAAAUUGUGCCUAGGGUCCUCAUUUGCCUUAAACAAUUGUCUAGAACAUAUCCUUCAAAAGCAAGAGGCUUGAAAACAACAAAAACACCCAAUACUUAGACUUUACGGCCGUAAACUCUAAGGGGAGUGGCCUCAGGGCCGUAAACUCCUAAUUGGAGUAUUUCUAGACCUUAAAAUCUUCCAAGGAUUUAACCACCAAGUUAGAAUAAUUCUAGGAAUCAUUUGGGACUUCAAAACACACCAAACCCCCAAGGUUGGGAGUUUACGGCCGUAAACUCAAGAGUUUACAACCGUAAACUCCAUGUGUGAUGGUUUAUGGGGAGUAAACUCACAUGUAGGGUCCUUUGGAACCCUAAACACAAAUACCUUGUCCCACAAUAGCUUAGAUGCAAUCCUUAAGGCUUAAAACACUUAUGUAAAGUGUUUAUUAUGUCUAGGAUGUCUUAACAUUAUCAAUUAGUGAUUUGAGUCUAAUUGAGUGCAUAUAUGUGUGAUUAUAUGUUCAUUAGGAUCGUAGUGCGUGUACAAGUCCUCGCUUGACACCUAGCCAUCCUAUACCGUUCAGUUCAUCCCAAUCACCAAC
rnacentral:lncRNA from 1 species